UAUACAAUUUCCUCUUACUCUUCUAUUUUCUCCUGGUCAGAUAAUGUGCUUUUCUUUGGCUAUUCAGUAUUCCUAAUCUAGGCUUAGAUUUCCGUUUGAUUUUGUGGAUUUCUACUGAUAGCACAGAUUCUUGGCCAUUCUUUAGGAUCAGCCAUUAUACCCUUCUGCCACAUGUGAUUGCCUUUGGAGGAACAUCUGAUGUUUUGGAAAAUUUGUGGAAAAAGAUAGCCCCAAGAUCUUCACCUGAAGCUGGAUUUUGUUGAUUCACACCAUAAACCCUACAUAACCACUGUGGCUUCCAGAGUGGAUUUCCACACUACAGACGUCAAUGUAACUGUGGAAACAUUAACAUUUUUCACCUCUGUGAAUGAGAUUACCCAGAGAUCUUUGGGUAGCGUGGGU